UACGAAGGGGGCUAGCGUUGUUCGGAAUUACUGGGCGUAAAGCGCGCGCAGGCGGUCUUCCAAGUCAGUGGUGAAAGCCCGGAGCCCAACUCCGGAACUGCCAUUGAAACUGUUGGACUUGAGUACGAGAGAGGUGAGUGGAAUUCCCAGUGUAGAGGUGAAAUUCGUAGAUAUUGGGAAGAACACCGGUGGCGAAGGCGGUCUGCUGGGCCAAGACUGACGCUGAGGCGCGACAGCGUGGGGAGCAAACAGG
rnacentral:rRNA from 1 species